GUGGGGAUAGGUGAGUGGU
rnacentral:tRNA from 2 species